AGGGCAGGGGGGUAUCCGCGGUCCCACGGCGGUUCCUGCCUUCGACCGGCCGCGCGGCCCUGCGCGGUCGCUGGUUGUCGCUCGGGGGUGAUCGCCG
rnacentral:sRNA from 1 species